rnacentral:lncRNA from 1 species
UGAUUGAUUUUAGUUACGCGUUUAAUCACAUUAAGGCGUGUUGUCUUAGGGGCGUUGGACCCUCUACUCAAUUUUCAUGCAUAUCAAAUAAUACAAGAAAGGAGUACUUCAAAGUAAAGAUGAGCUUAUGCUCUUUACAACAUUUGAAUAAAACAAAUUACUUUAAAGUAAAGAAGAGCUUAUGCUCUUUUACAACAUUUGAAUAAAACAAAUUACUUUAAAGUAAAGAAGAGCGUAUGCUCUUUUACAACAUUUGAUCAAAUCAAAUUACAACCAAAAUCUAAUCUACACAUUCCCAUGGUUCAAACAAAUUUGAAACGGCCUUUCACAUAGCUCAAUUAUCGUAGGCUUAGGUUCAUAAUCACCCUUUAAUUAAUUAACACUUUAACUAAUUAAAUUGAAUGCAACAUUUUCAUUUGGUUUUUGUAUCCAUAAAAUUGAUUUAAAUGGAGCUAAAUGAAAUGAAAAUCCAAUUCUCAUUUAAAGAGAUAAAACAAUUUUGUUCUCAACUUAAUUUGGGCCAAAAUGCAAUAACCUCAACUUUUGGGCUAUAUUGCAAAAACAUAAACUUUUGGGGUCACUUUGUAAAAACACAAAAGUCCAUUACUUCAUGUAAUUACAACUAGAACCCAAAAAUUUCAACAAAUGCAAAAACUUCAUUAAAGGAGCAAAACAAUUUGUCCUUUAGCAUUUUUGGACCUAAACGUGAAAACGUAAACUUUUGGGCCAAAGUGCAAAUACACAAAAGUAUCAAAACUUUAUGUAAUUGCAUGAAAGCUCCAAAAGUACUCCCAUUGAGGGAGUGGCCGAUUUUGGAGAGGUGAAAGGAGUGAUGUGUGUGUUGAUUGGUAAGUUUGACAUAAAGCAUGCAAGUGGUGCAAGUGGUGUGUGUGAAAGGGAAUUAAUCCUUACACACCCACCAAUAAUUCCAUCACCUUUCUAAACAAAUAUCUAAUACAUUUAAACAUAUGAAAAACAUAAAACAUAAACUUUAUGAAAUAAAUCAAAACUUUGAAUCAAAACACCAAACUUUUUGUUCUUGGCAAAAAUGUCAAGAACAAUGAAGAACACUCAUGAAAAACUCAAAAAUUUCCAUGAACAUUUUUCACCCAAAAACAUCCCAAAACCAUUCAAACUUAAGGGAAAUAACAUAUAACCAAACUAGGGUACAUAGGGGUUCCAAAAGUUACUUGAAAACACUUUUAACAAGACAAACAUGAACCCAAAAAUCCACCCUUUGGAUUUGGCCGAAUUUUCCCAUAAACAUGGCACCAAAUUUUAGCUCCAAUAUUCAUGCUCAUAUGAACUACAUCUACAACAUUUGAGAUGACAAAUUUUCUAACAAAAUUUACAUUCAAAGAAACAAGAAUAAAGCUUGUAACAUAUUACAACUUUUAAAUCAAAGACUAUGAACUACAAAACCCAAAAGGAUUCACCAACUACUAGACCUAGGCUCUGAUACCACUUGAAGGAAAUUUUGUGAAAAACAUGUUCAUUUGAAUAACAUCUAUAGCAUGCAAUUAACAAUUAAAAGGCAGAAUCAUGCUUGUAUGCACUAAAAAACAAAACAUUACCCAUGAAAUUCAAAGCCUAGUAGUUAGGUGAACCAAGACUCAACUCAAAUCAAAGUGAGUUGAGAAAUUUAUACCUUUGUAGAUUCCUCUUUGCAUAAGCAAAGGAUAAUCACCCAAGAGAUAGGGCCUUCAUUCCUUGCUUCUUCUCUCCAUGGAUUUGGAUGGUUGAAAAGAUUCUCCAAGUUCCCAAAUUUGAGAACCUCUAAGUCUCUUCACCAAGGUUAGAUUGGAGAAGAAAUGAGUGACCUUGGAGUAGUAGGAUUGCUAGCUAAACCCUCCAAGGAGGCCGGCCACUUUAGAGAGAAAGGAGAGCUUAUGUUCUCAUCCUUUCCCCAAAAGAAAAACCCUAAAUGAAUUUUGGCUAUAAAGUCAUAUUUAUACCUUAAUUCAUUGGAGU